rnacentral:pre_miRNA from 1 species
CUUAUACUCCCUCCGUCUAACGAAAUUUGUCUCAAAUUUGAAUGUAUCUGGAUAUUACUUAGUGUAUAGAUGCAUUCAAAUUUAAUCAAAGUUGAGAUAUUCUUCGUUGGAUGGAGGGAGUAUGAA